AUGUGGUUCACCUGGGUAGAGCAGUAAGGCAGGUAGAAGAGUGGUCUGCUUUGGUGUGAUAUUUAAGUCUCUUUGCAUUAAUGUCAAUGUCCAUCUUGAUAAACGAGCUGAAGAAAUGAUAGUCUCUCCUGGUUUUAGCAGCAAGUUCAAAGGAGUAUGGGGGCUGUGUAUUGUCAAGCUUUGAAGUCCGGUGAUGUAGGUGAAGUGGUCUAUUGCCCAGAAUGUUGCUAGAAG